rnacentral:rRNA from 1 species
GUCCACGCUGUAAACGAUGGGCACUAGGUGUCGCGGGUAUUGACCCCUGCGGUGCCGUAGCAAACGCGUUAAGUGCCCCGCCUGGGGAGUACGGCCGCAAGGCUAAAACUCAAAGGAAUUGACGGGGGCCCGCACAAGCGGUGGAGCAUGUGGUUUAAUUCGACGCAACGCGCAGAACCUUACCCGGGCUAGAAAAACAAGGAACCUUCCAGAGAUGGAGGGGUGCCCGCAAGGGAAUCUUGGUCCAGGUGCUGCAUGGCUGUCGU